GAAGGGAUCAGAGCACACUAGGAAAGGUAUUCUCAUGGUGGUCUUGGUGUGUGCUGUGGGGUGGGGUGCUUGCUGAAGUAGGGAAGCACAGGGCUUUGGCUCUAUCCCACCCCAUUACCAUCUCCUAAGAGCAUCCCACCUCACCAAAGGCUCCCACUCAAGGAUACCUGGGAAAAGAGCCCUUGCUUUCUGAAGAUAAAGGGAUGUGAGGACAUAGAGACUUAUGGUUUGAUUCUCAUGAGCUCGAAAAGAUCUUAGAAAAAGAGAAGGCUAGAACUGGAUCUUUCCUAGAGAUGGAGACAGGCCUAGACUAGGAAAGGCCUUAAACUAAACGGGUUACUUAUUUUCCUUUUGAAAACUACUCCCUGCUCUGUUGACAACUUCACCAAUCACAGGUCCAUUUUCUCUGCAGAGGGAGGAGGGUCAACACAUCACAUGGGUUGGUUAAUCUCUAACCUCUGCUAAUUUGCUUGUUUGCUUGUUUAAAGCGGAGUCAUUUGCAAAGAGACUCUUUUCUCCAGGAUCUCUCGGAGAAAGGAGGGACGAAAACCUAGAGCUGUCGGUGGCCAGCUUGGCUUAUCUGAGAAUUAAGCUAAAGGAGAAAUGCAGAGGAAAGAGGGGAGGCAAAGACAGAAUCCUUGGAUCCAGUCACACGAGCACCUCACAACCACCUAGUCUCCUUCAUAGGGAGAGUGUGUCAUACCAACGCCCAGCCAGUCUGCAAAAGAUGCAAAAAUGCCUGUGCUACCAAUUGCCCCUGAUCCCAGCACUCUAAGUUCUGUUCAUAAAGGGGAAGGAUAGUGCAUACACAUGAGUCAAGCAGCUGGGCAGCCACAGAUCCCUUGGGACUCACUGGCCCUCCUGGUUUCCCUGCUCAGCAAAGGUAAGCUCUAUUUCACUUAGUGACGUCUUUUGUCUUCCAUACAUCCUGUUCAUUUUGUGUCUGUUAAAAAGGUUUUGAUCUCAUUUUUCCAGGUGCCAAUAAUUUUCUGGAUUAAGUAUGCAUUUAAAAGGAUUUCACUUAGAUUUCUUAUAUCCAUUCAACAUGACCUCAUGUCCCUGUGGCAGGCACGAUUAACUUUCUCUGCAUCUAUCAUUUCGCAGAGGCUCAGCCCAGUGGAACAAUUCAAAGACCUUCCCUUUGUCAUUCUCCCUAGACGAAACCGUCUGGGCCACUGAGACAUCAGCCCUGGGAUCUACAGCUUCAAUAUCUAGAAUUCCCUGCUCAAAUGCUUUUUUCAGAGGCUUCUGGGAAUCGUUUUUUGGAUGAUCCCUGUGAGAAGGGGAGCGGGCUCCUCUGCUUAUUCAGGUCA
rnacentral:lncRNA from 1 species